rnacentral:rRNA from 1 species
GCAAGUCGAGCGGAGAUUGCAUUUAUGUAAUCUUAGCGGCGGACGGGUGAGUAACGCGUAGGCAACCUGCCUUGCACAGAGGGAUAACACCGGGAAAGUGGUGCUAAUACCACAUGAUAUCAUAACAAGGCAUCUUGAAAUGAUCAAAGGAGAAAUCCGGUGCAAGAUGGGCCUGCGUCCGAUUAGUUAGUUGGUGAGGUAACGGCUCACCAAGGCGACGAUCGGUAGCCGAACUGAGAGGUUGAUCGGCCACAUUGGGACUGAGACACGGCCCAGACUCCUACGGGAGGCAGCAGUGGGGAAUAUUGCGCAAUGGGGGGAACCCUGACGCAGCAACGCCCGCGUGAAGGAAGAAGGCCUUCGGGUUGUAAACUUUUUUGAUUGGGGAAGAAAAAAAUGACGGUACCCAAGGAACAAGCCACGGCUAACUACGUGCCAGCAAGCCGCGGUAAUACGUAGGUGGCGAGCGUUGUCCGGAAUUAACUGGGUGUAAAGGGCGUGUAGGCGGGAUUGUAAGUCAGAUGUGAAAUUCGAGGGCUUAACUCUGGAGGUGCAUCUGAAACUAUAAUUCUUGAGUGCUGGAGAGGGAAAGCGGAACUCCUAGUGUCGCGGUGACAUGCGUAGAUAUACGGCAAGACCACCAGUGGCGAAGGGGGCUUACUGGACAGUAACUGAAGCUGAGGCUCGAAAGCGUGGGGAGCAAACAGGAUUAGAUACCCCGGUACUUCACCCUUGUUAACGAUUGGAUACUACGCUGUAGGAGGUUAUCGACCCCGUUCUGUGCCGGGAGUUAACACAAAUAAGUAUGCCCACAUGGGGGAGUACGUGCCGAUAGCGCUGAAACUCAAAAGUAAUUUACGGGGGCACCGCACAAGCAUUGGAGUAUGUGGUCUUAUUCGAAGCAACGCGAAGAACAUUUACAGGGCUUGACAUCACUCGGAUAACAUAGAGAUAUGUUAGUCCUUCGGGACGAGGAGACAGCUGGUGCAUGGUCUCGUCAAGCUCGUGUCGUGAGAUGUUGGGUUAAGUCCCGCAACGAGCGCAACCCCUAUUGGUAGUUGCCAUCAUUAAUUUGGGCACUCUAACGAGACUGCCGCUGACAAAUCGGAGGAAGGUGGGGACGACGUCAAAUCAUCAUGCACCUUAUGUCCUGGGCUACACACGUACUACAAUGGUCACUACAAAGGGAAGCAAUACCGCAAGGAGGAGC